CAGAGUUGCAAAACUCCCUAAACCAUUGUGAACCUACCUUCUAACCGUUGCUUCGGCGGGCGGGCCCAGCGCCCCCCCGGCCCCUCGCGGGCGCCCGCCGGAGGAUACCCAAACCAUUGACUAUUAGUGGCCUCUCUGAGUCUUCUGUACUGAAUAAGUCA
rnacentral:misc_RNA from 1 species